rnacentral:lncRNA from 1 species
UUUCAUUUCAAGUUAGAAUCACUUGCUGAUGCCCUGAAUGUCAAGAAUGAUGGUGUGCCAGGCACCAUGCAAAAUGUUCUGCAAGUAGGGUCCAUUAGAGUCCAUAUGACAGGUGCCAUGAUGGGUCUCAUUUGGCAGAAGGGAGCACAGGUUCAGGUGAUGACUGAGAGCACUGCAGCCAUCUCGGAACCUUGUUGCAUGAAGACGGAGGCCUGGAAUGCAAGGCUUGUGAUGCCAAAAGAAGUGCUGGACCCCGGAGCUGUUCCCGGAUUGCUGACCCAGUCUUUGAACUCAUUUCUGGAUUAUAACCCUGGGUCCACCGAAGCGGCUACUGACACUCUCCCACCACCUGCUUGGUUUCCUCGUGACUGCGUGUGACCAGGAUGGGGUCUCAUGCUUCACCUGGGCAUCUGGACUGGGGCUGCCUCGUCUUUGCGGGCCUCCCUCCUACAGUGCUGAGCUGACUGAAAACACUCAAAAAUCCCAGGCUGUCGGGGCUGGCUCAGCCGUUUAAAAUGCUUACCGGUUGUUCAGAGGACCUGGGUUCGGUUCCCAGCACCCUCAGAUCUGCUCUCCAUCUCUGGUGGCUGGUUCGAGAUGAUCCAAACCCCUCUUCUGACCUCUGUGGGCUCCUGCAUGCAUGUGGUGCUCAUGAAUGCGUUCAGACACACUCACAUGCAGGGUUUGGAAUUACCAGGGAGCACAGAGUCCAUUGGAGAUGUACUAUGGUGGAUAGAGCUGGUUGACACUGGUUCUGCUGGAAAUGACCAGAGAAUGUCUUGCCUGACACAGCCCCAGCUCAUUUCAAGUGUUGAUGGGAU